rnacentral:rRNA from 1 species
GACGAACGUUGGCGGUGCGCUUCAUGCAUGCAAGUCGAGGGAGAAGCGUUGGUUCCGUAAGGUUCCGACGUGGAAACCGGCGAACGGGUGCGUAACACGUGAGAAACCUGCCCCCAAGACUGGGAUAGCCCAGGGAAACUUGGAUUAAUACCGGAUACUCUCACCGGGCCGCAUGGCCUGGUGAGGAAAUGGUCCGCCGCUUGGGGAUGGUCUCGCGGCCUAUCAGGUUGUUGGUGAGGUAACGGCUCACCAAGCCGAAGACGGGUAGCUGGUCUGAGAGGACGAUCAGCCACACUGGAACUGAGACACGGUCCAGACUCCUACGGAGGCAGCAGCAGGGAAUAUUGCACAAUGGGCGAAAGCCUGAUGCAGCGACACCGCGUGCGGGAUGAAGGCCUUCGGGUUGUAAACCGCUUUCAGGAGGAAG